rnacentral:rRNA from 1 species
GUGGGGAAUUUUGGACAAUGGGCGCAAGCCUGAUCCAGCAAUGCCGCGUGCAGGAAGAAGGCCUUCGGGUUGUAAAGCCCUUUUGUUGGGAAAGAAAUCCUGUCGGUUAAUACCUGGCGGGGAUGACGGUACCCAAAGAAUAAGCACCGGCUAACUUCGUGCCAGCAGCCGCGGUAAUACGAAGGGUGCAAGCGUUACUCGGAAUUACUGGGCGUAAAGCGUGCGUAGGUGGUGGUUUAAGUCCGUUGUGAAAGCCCUGGGCUCAACCUGGGAAUUGCAGUGGAUACUGGAUCACUAGAGUGUGGUAGAGGGAUGCGGAAUUUCUGGUGUAGCAGUGAAAUGCGUAGAGAUCAGAAGGAACAUCCGUGGCGAAGGCGGCAUCCUGGGCCAACACUGACACUGAGGCACGAAAGCGUGGGGAGCAAACAGGAUUAGAAACCCGGGUAGUCC